rnacentral:rRNA from 1 species
AUGAAAGAAUACUUUGAUGCUCACAACAUGAGUGGAAUUGACCGCUCGGAGAGAUCACUUCGGUCCCGAUGGUCCACAAUCAACUCCGGUUGUCAAAAGUGGGCGGCCGCACAAAAGUCAGUUGACAAGAUUAACCCAAGUGGCACAAAUGAGGAUGAUAGAGUAAGUGGCAUCUCAUAUAUGUUCAUCUCAUACUUGUUUUUGGUGUCCGAAGUGCUAACUUGUUUUGUUUUUCUUGUAGUACAACAUUGCACAAAACUUGUUCAAAGAAGAGACGAGGAAAACCAAGAAGGGGAAGAUCAAGAAAGGAAGCUAUUGUGA